AUGUUGAAAAAAGAGGGGAAUGGGCUCAGCAGCCGGGAGACAGGAACCAGGUCAGUACAGGAGAUGGGAGGAGAGGAGGGGGGCGGCAGCCUCAGCGCUGAGUGCCAUCUCCUGCCAGGGGCUGCUCCUGCUGCUUUGACAGAGUCAGUCUCACAGCAGCCCUUCCAGGGAAGAAAGCAAGAUUUCUAUUUAAAAUCCAUUUCACAACGGAAACCCACUACCAGGGAAUCUCAGGAGGCUGCAGUCGCUCAGGAUGGGGUGAUAGAAAGCGGGGUUCAACCCGCGAAAGCGGGUGCCUUUCCCCCAGGCUUCAGCAUUUCAGAGAUCAAGAAUAAACAGCGGCGACAUUUAAUGUUCACGCGGUGGAAACAGCAGCAGCAGAAGGAAAAGUUGGCAGCUAAAAAAAGACUUAAAAAAGAGAGAAGGGCUCUUGGUGAUAAGGCUCCACCAAAAGCCUAUACCAAAGACCGUUGACAACCAGCGAGUGUAUGAUGAAACCACAGUAGACCCUAAGGAUGGAGAGGUUGCUUAUGAUGAAGCUACAGAUGAAUUUGCUUCUUACUUCAACAGACAGCCUUCUCCCAAGAUUCUGAUCACAACAUCAGAUAGGCCUCAUGGAGAACAGCACGACUCUGUGGACAGCUCUCCACAGUGAUACCAGACUCCCAUGUUUAUUACAGGGAAGAGGACUGGCCCUGAAAAAAAGUAUUCCACAGUGCAUCGCAAGCGAUUUCACAGAUCUGAUUGUUAUUAAUGACAAUCGUAAAACCCCGAAUGGACUUAUUUUGAGUUACUUGCCAAAUGGUCCAACUGCUCACUUAAAAAUGAGCAGUGUUCGUCUUCGUAAAGAAAUUAAGAGAAGAGGCAAGGACCCCACAGAACACAUACCUGAGAUAAUUCUGAAUAAUUUUACAACACGGUUGGGUCAUUCAGUUGGACGAAUGUUUGCAUCUCUCUUUCCUCAUGAUCCUCAAUUUAUGGGAAGGCAGGUUGCCACAUUCCAUAAUCAGCGAGAUUAUGUCUUCUUUAGAUUUCACAGGUACAUAUUCAAGAGUGAAAAGAAAGUAGGAAUUCAGGCACUUGGACCACGUUUUACCUUAAAAUUAAGAUCUCUUCAGAAAGGAACCUUUGAUUCUAAAUAUGGAGAGUAUGAAUGGGUCCAUAAGCCCCGAGAAAUGGAUACAAGUAGAAGAAAAUUCCAUUUAUAAAGUGCCGAAGGAACAGAAUUAGACUUUGCUGAAUAGAUCAAUUUUAAAGUUGGUAAAAUUAUUUGUGACAGAACACUCUUUUCAAAAUGGUAUUUACUGAUUUCAUAAAUCAUCUUUCGUGUCUGGACAAAUUG